rnacentral:tmRNA from 2 species
GGGCCUGGGUUGGUUUUGACAGCAAGGCAAAUGGUCAGGUAAGCAUGCAGGCUCAGGUAACACAAGCCUUGAACAGGGUUACAAAACAAUAAUUGGCGAAGAAAAUUACGCUCUUGCUGCGUAGUCGAAGUACAGUAAACUAACGCUCUUCGGUGCAAAGUGCAUCGGGCAGGACAUCUCUCCGAGACCUUGUUCCCGUGGUUGAAGACAAAGAGGUGCAGACAAAACGGGAAUAGUCCGUGCGGUGCUUCUACACACGGAUGAACCCUUUUCAGAAGAUAAGGUAAAGACAGGACGUUUGCCUCUUGGUCUUUUCCCGACAACAAAAGGCAGAAUAAGCAUGUAGAAAGCCUGGUCGUUUCUUGUUUGGACCAGAGUUCGAAUCUCUGCAGGUCCACCA